rnacentral:rRNA from 1 species
AGUGAACGCUGGCGGCGUGCUUAAUACAUGCAAGUCGAACGAUGAAGUCCUAGCUUGCUAGGAUGGAUUAGUGGCGCACGGGUGAGUAAUAUAUAGUUAAUCUGCCUUGCACUGAGGAACAACAGUUGGAAACGAUUGCUAAUACCUCAUACUCCAACUUUACAUAAGUUAAGUUGGGAAAGUCUUUUCGGUGCAAGAUGAGACUAUAUCGUAUCAGCUAGUUGGUAAGGUAAUGGCGUACCAAGGCUAUGACGCGUAACUGGUCUGAGAGGAUGAUCAGUCACAUUGGAACUGAGACACGGUCCGAACUCCUACGGGAGGCAGCAGUAAGGAAUAUUGUGCAAUGGGGGAAACCCUGACGCAGCAACGCCGCGUGGAGGAAGACACUUUUCGGAGCGUAAACUCCUUUUGUUAGGGAAGAAUAAUGACGGUACCUAACGAAUAAGCACCGGCUAACUCCGUG